rnacentral:tRNA from 1 species
UUCUUCAUUAAACUACUU